CUUGGUCAUUUAGAGGAAGUAAAAGUCGUAACAAGGUUUCCGUAGGUGAACCUGCGGAAGGAUCAUUAUCGUAAAACCGAGGUGCGAGGGCUGUCGCUGACCGUUUCGGUCGUGCACGCCCGAGUGCUCUCACACAAUCCAUCUCACCCCUUGUGCACCACCGCGUGGGUCCCUUUCCGGCUCCUCCGGAGGGGGGCUCGCGUUUUCACACAAACUUGAAGUAGUGUAGAAUGUCCUUUUUUGCGAUAACACGCAAUCAAUACAACUUUCAACAACGGAUCUCUUGGCUCUCGCAUCGAUGAAGAACGCAGCGAAAUGCGAUACGUAAUGUGAAUUGCAGAAUUCAGUGAAUCAUCGAAUCUUUGAACGCACCUUGCGCCCCUUGGCAUUCCGAGGGGCACACCCGUUUGAGUGCCGUGAAAUCAUCAAAACCUUCUCUUUGACCCUCUUUGGUCGGGAAAAGGAUUUUUGGACUUGGAGGUUCCAUGCUCGCCUUCACUUUUGAAAGCGAGCUCCUCUCAAAUGAAUUAGUGGGGUCCGCUUUGCUGGUCCUUGACGUGAUAAGAUGUUUCUGCGUUUUGGAUUUAGCACUGUCCCUUGGAUGCCUGCUCCUAACUGUCUCACGGAUAAUGAUGGUGCUCUGGUCACCGCCGUUUACAUCGGCGGGAGGCUGGACCCACAAAAAGAAAACCUUGACCUCAAAUCGGGUGAGACUACCCGCUGAACUUAAGCAUAUCAAUAAGCGGAGG
rnacentral:rRNA from 1 species